AAGUCGUAACAAGGUUUCCGUAGGUGAACCUGCGGAAGGAUCAUUAAUGAAUAACUAUGGUGUUGGUUGUUGCUGGCUUCUAGGAGCAUGUGCACGCCCACCAUUCUUAUAUCUCUCCACCUGUGCACAUUAUGUAGGUCUGGAUAACUCUCGCUCUUGGGCGGAUACAGGGAUUGUCGCUUGCGACUCUUCUUGAAUUUCCAGAUCUAUGUAUUUACAUACCCCAAUUGAAUGAUGAAGAAUGUAGUCAAUGGGCUUUAAGCCUAUAAAACAAAAUACAACUUUCAGCAACGGAUCUCUUGGCUCUC
rnacentral:misc_RNA from 1 species